rnacentral:rRNA from 1 species
AGCUAAUAGAUACCCAGGUAGUCCACGCCCUAAACGAUGUCUACUAGUUGUUGGUGGAGUAAAAUACCAUGAGUAAACGCAGCUAACGCGUGAAGUAGACCGCCUGGGGAGUACGGUCGCAAGAUUAAAACUUACAAAGGAAUUGACGGGGGCCCGGCACAAGCGGUGGAUUAUGUGGAUUAAUUCGAUGCAACGCGAAAAACCUUACCUGGCCUUGACAUGCCACUAACGAAGCAGAGAUGCAUAGGUGCCCGUAAGGGAAAGUGGACACAGGUGCUGCAUGGCUGUCGUCAGCUCGUGUCUGAGAUGUUGGGUUAAGUCCCGCAACGAGCGCAACCCUUGCCAUUAAUUGCCAUCAUUUAGUUGGGCACUUUAAUGGGACUGCCGGUGACAAACCGGAGGAAGGUGGGGAUGACGUCAAGUCCUCAUGGCCCUUAU